rnacentral:lncRNA from 1 species
AAAAACACCCUGGAAACGCCAUCCCAAAAUACCCUAAAACAGCCCAGAAAUGCCCCAAAAGAACCCUGGAAAUGCUCUCAAAAUAUCCUUAAAAAACAGCCCGGAAUCUGCCAAAAACGAUACUGGAAGUUCCCCUAAACUGCAUCAAAAUUGUGCCUAAAUGCUUUGAAAUAACCCCAAAAUACGAUAAAAACUGUGUGAAAGCACCCAAAAAUGUAUCUGAAAGCAUCCACAAACCUGCAUUCAAUGCAUGUGUAAAAGCACCCCCAAAAAUGUAAAAAGCAGCGCUAAAAAUGCCCCUGACAAUGUCUCAAAACACCCCCAAAAAUGCACCGUUAACAAUGUCCCUGAAAACAUUUCAAAACACCCCAAAAAUGCAAAAAACAUCCCUGAAAAACAUUCCUAAAAAUGUCUCAAAGUACCCCCAAAAUCACAGAAAACAGCCUGAAAAACAUCCCUGAAAAUGUCUCAAAGCACCUCCAAAAAUGCAAAAAACAGCCUUAAAAAAGCCCCUGAAAUUGUCUCAAAUUCAGACCCAAAUUCUCCCAAUUUGAAACCCAAGUUCUUCCAAUUUCAGACCCAAAUUCUCCCAAAUUCAGAUCCCAAAAAUUUCCCAAAUUCAGACCCAAAUUGGAGCCCCCCACCCCUCCCCAUUCCCCAAACUCUCCCUCCCCAAACCCCCCAAUUUUGGGGGCUCCCCUCCAUCACUGUGCGGGCCGGGGGGGUUCCUUGCGGCCCCCUGAGCCCCAUUUCCGCCCUUUUUCACCCCAAUUCCCAGGUUUCGCUCCAAGUACCACCCGGACGAGGCCGGGAAGCGGCAGCAGGAGGCCCAGGCCGCCCUCAGGAACCGCCUGGGCGUGUUCCUGUACCUGUGGGAGCACGGCUGGUUCGACAACCUGCUGCUGGACAUUGACCGCGCCCCGCAGAUCAUCAAAACGCUCGACGCAGCGGUGAUCAAGAUGGAGGGGGGCACGGAGCAUGACCUGCGGAUCCUGGAGCAGGAGGAGGAGGAGGAGCGGGCUGAGAAGGCCGAAGGCCCCAAAAAGGAGGAGCCGCGGCCCCCAGAGCCCCCCGGGAAAGGCCCGGCCGAGCGCCCCGACGGCGAUGACAGUGCCAAGGCUGAAGGAGCGGAGCCGGGGGCGGAGCCUGCUGCAGGGGCAGGGCCUGAGGAGGAAGAGGAGGGGCCAGACAAGGGGCCCAAGGCUGAGGAAGGCGACAAGGAGGGUGGGGCCAAGGUCAGUGGCCACACCCCCAAGUGACCACACCCCACAAAGCUCCACCCCCACCAUCACCACAGUGAGGCUGAUGAAACCCUGCUGCUUUUCUAGUAACCACACCCUUUUCCUAUCAAACCACACCCCUUUCUGCUCAGCCCCACCUCCCCAACAGCCCAUCCCCUUGGCAAGCCCUGCCUCUCUACAUAAGCCACACCCCUUUUCGUGCUCCUCUCCUUAUAGGCUCCUCCCAACCCUUAUAAAUCCCUUCAGUCCCUCUCCUUUACGCAAGCCCCG